rnacentral:rRNA from 1 species
CAGUCGCACGAACUUCCGUUAAUUGAUUAUGACGUGCUUGCACUGAAUGAGAUUUUAACACGAAGUGAGUGGCGGACGGGUGAGUAACACGUGGGUAACCUGCCCAGAAGCAGGGGAUAACACCUGGAAACAGAUGCUAAUACCGUAUAACAGAGAAAACCGCCUGGUUUUCUUUUAAAAGAUGGCUCUGCUAUCACUUCUGGAUGGACCCGCGGCGCAUUAGCUAGUUGGUGAGGUAACGGCUCACCAAGGCGAUGAUGCGUAGCCGACCUGAGAGGGUAAUCGGCCACAUUGGGACUGAGACACGGCCCAGACUCCUACGGGAGGCAGCAGUAGGGAAUCUUCCACAAUGGACGCAAGUCUGAUGGAGCAACGCCGCGUGAGUGAAGAAGGGUUUCGGCUCGUAAAGCUCUGUUGUUAAAGAAGAACGUGGGUGAGAGUAACUGUUCACCCAGUGACGGUAUUUAACCAGAAAGCCACGGCUAACUACGUGCCAGCAGCCGCGGUAAUACGUAGGUGGCAAGCGUUAUCCGGAUUUAUUGGGCGUAAAGCGAGCGCAGGCGGUCUUUUAAGUCUAAUGUGAAAGCCUUCGGCUCAACCGAAGAAGUGCAUUGGAAACUGGGAGACUUGAGUGCAGAAGAGGACAGUGGAACUCCAUGUGUAGCGGUGAAAUGCGUAGAUAUAUGGAAGAACACCAGUGGCGAAGGCGGCUGUCUGGUCUGUAACUGACGCUGAGGCUCGAAAGCAUGGGUAGCGAACAGGAUUAGAUACCCUGGUAGUCCAUGCCGUAAACGAUGAU